ensembl:misc_RNA Metazoa_SRP Metazoan signal recognition particle RNA
GCCCUCAAAGGUGUGGGGAGCCAGGCACCUGUAGUCUCAGCUACUCAGAGGGCUGAGGUGGGAGGAUCGCAUGAGCCCAGGAGUUCUGGGCUGUAGUGUGCUAUGCCAAUUGGGUGUCCACACUAAGCUUAGCAUCAAUAGGAUGACCUCCUGGGAGUGGGGACCACCAGGUUGCCUAAGAAGGGUUGACAUGGCCUGGGGCCAGGUGGAGCCGAUCAAAACUCGUGUGCUGAUCAGUAGUAGGAUACGCCUGUCUGCACUCCAGCCUGGACAACAUAGCAAGACCCUGUGUCU